UACAGAGGUCCCAAGCGUUGUUCGGAUUUACUGGGCGUAAAGGGUGCGUAGGUGGUCGGGUAAGUCCCAUGUGAAAUCUCCAAGCUCAACUUGGAAAUGGCAUGGGAUACUAUUCGGCUAGAGGAUUGGAGGGGGGACUGGAAUUCCCGGUGUAGCAGUGAAAUGCGUAGAGAUGUGGAGGAAUACCGAUGGCGAAGGCAGCCCCCUGGGGUAACACUGACGCUCAUGCACGAAAGCGUGGGGAGCAAACAGG
rnacentral:rRNA from 1 species